GCCCAGACUCCUACGGGAGGCAGCAGUGGGGAAUAUUGCACAAUGGGGGAAACCCUGAUGCAGCGACGCCGCGUGAGUGAAGAAGUAAUUCGUUAUGUAAAGCUCUAUCAGCAGGGAAGAAAAUGACGGUACCUGACUAAGAAGCCCCGGCUAACUACGUGCCAGCAGCCGCGGUAAUACGUAGGGGGCAAGCGUUAUCCGGAUUUACUGGGUGUAAAGGGAGCGUAGACGGCAGUGCAAGUCCGGAGUGAAAGCCCGGGGCUCAACCCUGGGACUGCUCUGGAAACUGUAGAGCUGGAGUGCGGGAGGGGCAGGCGGAAUUCCUGGUGUAGCGGCGAAAUGCGUAGAUAUCAGGAGGAACACCGGCGGCGAAGGCGGCCUGCUGGACCGUAACUGACGUUGAGGCUCGAAAGCGUGGGGAGCAAACAGGAUUAGAUACCCGGGUA
rnacentral:rRNA from 1 species